AUCAACUGAUUACAUUUCCCUCUACCAAAAAAUUUCAGUUCCCCCUUUACUUUUUCAUCCAAAUUUUCGUUCCCCCCACUUUUUCAACCUAAACUUUGUAAGUGAGAGAUUUAGUUGAAUCUCUCUUCUUCUACAUUUGUUUCUUUCUCUUCCUCUCCCUACUAUUAAUUUGGUGUAUACAUAUCCUUCCCUCUUUUCCCUUCCCUGUCUUCCCUUGUCUCUCCUUCUCCUCCCUUUCCCUCUCCUGUCCUCUCCAUCUGAUUAUCAACCGAGCUUACUCAGAUCUGUUGCCAUCGACGGUGACCCACCAGCCGUUUGAUGCCGAUGUUGACCAUUCUUUAAAGUUUAACAACAACCCACCUGAUGAUGAGGUUGAACGAAAAUCUCAUGGCGAUCUUACUAUCUCACCAACACUAUAUAUAGAUGAUGUUUAGUACAGAGGUUUGUUGACCAGAGAGUUUAAUCCAUUGUCACAUGGUGAGACAGGAGAAAAUUCAUUGACUCAUAUUCCUUUUCAGUGCACAGAGUGUUGCUGCCAUCCGAACGAAAAAUCCUGCCAGCAAUCUACCAAGUCACAGAUGAACUCUAGUUUCCAUUACUGCACCACCAAGGCAGCCAAUGAUGGAGCUCACAACUAUAGAAACACAUAUUGACUCAUAUACAAGGCCAAGUUGAUUAAUUUUUGGUGACGUUGCAAUUAAAGAUAGAUUAAUUUAUGUUUUGUUUAUUGUAUAUCUUUAGGUUAUUUAGAUAUUUGGGAUUGUCAUCCUCACGGGACAUAUUGGUGGAUAUUUGAUGAUAUAUUUGGUUGGUUGUAAUGGUGUUUAUUAGUUCGGAAUGAUAACUUUUGUUUACAAAAUUUUGAAUUGUUAAUUACAUUUUCUAGCCUAGCUUGUUAAUUUCUUAUUACAAAACUAUUGUCCAAACAAAUGAUUUACAAGAGUAAUGAAAUAGAAACAAUUGUCCAAAUAUUUAAAAGACAACAAAUUGGCAGGAAGAAAACCAUUGUAUGAAAUAAGCAAACACAAAAGAAAAAGAAA